GAGGAGGGGUGUGACAUCGGUGGUCUUGCUUGGCUUUUCUAAAGAAACAAUAUUUAAGCCAAGAAUUUGAAAUAUGUGAAAUCAACCAUGAAAAGAAAAAAAAUAUUUGGGAAAAGGUCGGUUGUUCCAGGUAGAGAAGCGCACAUGGGCACAGACUCUGCGAUCACAAAACUGAUGACCUGGGAGAACCGAAAUGAGACCAGUGCGGCUGGAACUUGGUGGGAGAGCUGAGCACGCCUGGAGGGAGGCAGGGGUCGUGCACUCGGUAUGUCCACUGAGCUGAGUCUCAGGAACUGUCCUAGGAAGGACACAGCCGUGAGCCAAAGGACCCAGUUCCUCAGGUUUUUCUGAUGGAGAUGGAUAGAGGGUGAACAAACAAGACAAAGUGAAUCGUAACUUCGGGGAGUAAUAGUUGCCUCUGAGGAAAUAGAGCAAGUUCUAAAGAGAAAGAGAUGGAGUCUUAAUUAAGAAACGUUAUUUGAGGCAGGCCAUUCUGAGGAGGUUAUAUUUUAAAAGAGACAUAAAUUGAGAGAAUCAUCCAUACAGAAUCUAUGAAAACAGAUUUUAUGACAAAGAAUACAAGAGCAAAGGAAAUAAGGAGCAAUGCUAUUAAUCUUGCCGGCUUCUAAUGGGAGAUUCUGAAACUGAUUCCACAAUAAAGUAUGGACAAUUGUGAACGUCGUGGCUGAUGUGAUCCAGUCUCCCUCCCUGGUUCCCCCGUUGGAUGUAAUCUACCGCCCUGACGGCUCAGACCCUCCGAUUCUCCCAGUUCCCCUGCAGUUUGCCUUCCUUGGCAACGACUCCACUGGAACAACACCAGCUUUACUCCGGGCCCCGGUGCUUGGCAAACUUAAGUUUCCUGCUCUCUGUAGACGGCUUUUCUGAAAUACGACCCUGGCUGAGCUGCAGACUGUGUUUGUGAUCUCGUGAAGAAUUUGCCCUCAGUAAGAGUGGCUACUGGCGAACUGUGCGGCAGCCCCACGGCCCUUCUAGAGUUGGGCGUAUUCCUCCUCAGUUGACGCUGUACCUAUUUCUGGGCCCAGAUCUUCAGGAUGUGUUCUGAUGCCUGCCAUCUAGAGGGCGCGAAGAACAACUUUAUGCCUUUUUUUGGGUGAACUUAAUUCAGAAUUUAUAUGCUGACUGACGGACAAAGCAGAACUCCUUUUUGAGCCUUUAGUGUAUGAGCACCAUGCAGUUUAUGAUAACAUGUACAUCUCUCUGCUUCUCUUCUCCACACUUACCCUUCAGCUCUGUGGUCCACGCGAUCUCAAUGACACUUUUCCACAAGGCUACUAAUAAGGGCUUCUCAGAAAAUAUAAUGGAUGGUUUGUAGUUCUUACUUCACUUGACUUCUCAGGAGUAUUUACCAACAUUGGCCAUUUUCUCUGCUGUGGUCUGAAUGUUUGUGUCCCCCCCCAAAUUCAUAUGUUUAAAGCCUAAUGCCCAACAGGAUGAUAUUAGAAGGUGGGGGUCUUCAGAGGUGAUUAGGUCGUGAGGCUGGGGCCCUCGUAAAUGGGAUUAGUGCUCUCAUGAAAGAGACCCCACAGAGCUCCUUAACCCCUUCUGCCUUGUGAGACACAAUGAGAAGUUGCAACCAGAAGGAGAGCCCUCACUCUGUGGUGCUGGCACCCGACCUCAGACCUCCAGUUUCCAGGACUGUGGGAAUAAGCAUCUGCUGUUCUGAGACACUCAGCCUAUGGCGUUUUCCUAUAGCGGGUUGAACAGACUAAGAUGUUCUCUUUAAAAACUUUCUUUUCUUCCUUUUUUGAUAUAUCAGUCUCCUAAUUUUCUUCCUAUUCCUCUGGAAUCUCCUUAAAGGUAUUUUUACCUGUUUCUAUCCCUCGAUUACGUGAAUUCUUCCACUUGAAGUUCUCAUAUGGUCAAAUUUUAUCCAUGCUCUCUGAGCAAUCUCAUCCAGUCCUGCCCCCUAAAUCACCACAGCUUUGCUGAACUCGCCCCUUCUCCCAGACAUUCUCCACAGGAAGUCCAUGUAUCCUGCUGGGUCUGAACAUCACCACUCGAAUCCUUGCAAAGAUCUGUGACUGAUCUUAACGCCUCUUCCCAACACUGCUUUCCUCCAGCGUUUCUCGUCUCAGUAAUGGCAUUACAUCCAGUUGCCCAAACGGGAUGCCUGUGGGUAAUUGUCCUUCUCCUUUACUGUCCUGCUCACCAGUAAAUUCCCAGGUCUUCAAAUUUUAUCUCCUCAAUGCCUGAAACCUACCUCCUUCCCUUUACUUGACUUUCACUCAUGGCUGAACCCAGGUUGCCAGCACAUUUUGCCUGAAUUACUCCCACGGUUUGGUAACUGCUUUUCCUUCUAACCAUAUCUGUGACCGUGUCGCUCUUUCAAAAUCAAUUUGAGACCCUUUGGGUUUCCUCGUAACCUCAGGAUACAGUUCUUCAUCGGGGACACAAAGGACCUUCCUGCACACCUUUCCAGGUUCUACUUAGCACUCAUUGCUCCCUGUGCAACCAGGUGUCUUACACACACACACACAGGCGCACACAUGCACAUACACACACACGCACACACGGGCCGCUCUCCCUCCUGCUCACUGGCUGGUUAGCUUCCACUGAUCUUUCACAUGUUGACUUGCAUGUGAAUUCCCUGGAGAAAACAUUCUUUGAUUCAUUGAGGCCCCUCCCACGUGCCAAGGAAGUGUUCUGGAAUGCUUCCUUCCGGGGAACUUACUUCAACAACUGUGCUUGCUUUAAACAAUCUCCCAACAGAUGGUCAGCUCAGUGAGGGCGGGCACAUAUCUCACUUCUUCACGCUCCUGUUUCUGGUUUCCAGCUCAGUUACAGACACUGAAUACUUAACAAAGCUACUUUUUUUUAAGCAAAUUGAGGAAUUGAUAUACUUUCCCAAAUAAUUAAGAUUUACACAAAAGCCCAUAAAAGUCUUCACUUCUUACUGAGGAAAGAAAAGCCACAGUCUUCAAAUUACAUUAUCCUACAAGAAUCUACACGAUCUAGUCCUCCCAUUGUUUGCCUUUUGCUUUUUGUGAGUUAUUUCCCUAGAUUUGUUUCCUUUGCUCGUUCCCAGAGCAGCCUCCUGGCCUUUCUCACGUGCACCAGUCACUUCCUUUAAGGUGGUCUUAUCUGUGGCUGUUCCCUCCGACUGGAAUGCUGUUCCCUUUGACAGCCACCUAACGUUCUCCCUCAGCUGCUUAAGACCUCUGUCUGUAUCUCAGCUUCUCAACAAGGUGUCUCCUGGCCCACUAUUUAAAAUCGCAACUCAUACUCCCCAAAACCCGGCAGAAAUGUGUGUAGUGUCUCUGAUUUAUUUUCCUCACUAGCAAUUAUCAACCUCUAAUUUACCAUAUUUUGCUGUGUGUUUGGUUUAUUUUAUAAACUCUCCCGCCUCCUUUAGAAUGUAAGCUGUCUGUGGGCAGUGGGAUUUUUCUCUGUUUAUUCACUGCUAUGUCCCUGGUGUCUGAACACGCUUGCCCUCAUUGAAUAAAUGAGUAAAUUAAUAAUAAAUAAAUAUCUAAUAACAUAAGUAACAAGUUGGUAAGGCUUUGAAUAAGUACUGACAGGGUAGUUUUAGCCUGUACAUAGAUAUGUCCUUUAAUACUUUUAAAAAUAUUCUCUUUUAAACACGAUUUGUGCUGUUUCGGGAAACAUUGUCACAGGCC
ensembl:lncRNA